UCUUCUCUUGGCUGCCUUGGGAGUAAAACCUGCUUCGAGCCUUGGUGACUCAGCGUUUUGGCUUGCUGUGCCUCCUGAAAAAUGAACCUGGCUCAGUAACAAAUUUGGUGGGUCAACCAGGAGGGACCAUGUUUAGGGAAAAAGAACAAUGGAGAAUAAAACAACAGGCCACUCUGCUGGCGGCUGCCUUAACACAGGGAAGAGCCAGACCCCCACAAAGGACUCAGCAAAAGGGGGUGUGACUUUGGACAAGCUGCUUCACCUCCCCGAGCUUCCGUUUCCUCAUCUUUAAAGUGGGAUAAUCACACCUACCUCACAGGGUGGCUGUAGGAAGACAUGAUACAGCAUGUGGCACUUGCUUGGUACACAGGUGAUACUCAAAAACAAAUCUCUCUUCUUUUUGGAUGGUGUAAAAUGGAGCUGUGAAGCCUGAACUACUACCAUAAAGGGAGAGCCUUGAUCUGCUGUGUAGAAGCUGAGAAUGAAGUUGGCAUUAAGAAAGGCAGCUGAAAGAUGGAGGGGAAAAUGUCUUCGGUGAAAGUGUUUGAAACCUGGAUCAAGCCUUACCUGAGCUUACGGGACUUCCCUGGUGGUGCAGUGGACACAGGUUCGAGCCCUGGUCUGGGAAGAUCUCACAUGCUGCGGAGCAACUAAGCCUAUGUGCCACAACUACUGAAGCCCGUGCGCCUAGAGCCCAUGCUCCACAACGAGAAGCCACCGCAAUGAGAAGGCCCUGCACCACAACAAAGAGUAGUCCCUGCUCGACGCAACUAGAGAAAGCCCGUGCACAGCAAUGAAGACCCAGCGCAGCCAAAAAUAAACUUACAAUGAUCCUCUAUAUGAAAAAUUUAAGCUACAGAUCUGUGUUCGAAAGUAGUUAUUACUGGUCUUUUGAUUUUAUUACAUAGUAAGUAAGUAUAUGUGUAUGUAUAUAUGUGUGUGUAGCUGUACAUAUACACACAUACAUAUGCACAUAUACACACAUAAUAGACCUCUAAAAAUAUUAAUGUGACAUGGCAAAGUACUGCUGUGCUAGCUGGGUCAAGAUAUGUUGGCAGUACAAUGAUGUGCUUAUUAAGCUCCUUGAAGAACAAGGAGCUAUUCAGAAGCCAUCAAGGGUAAAAGAUUCCUCUGCAGCAGGUCAAAUUGUAAUUUCCCCCAGCACCCCUGCAGAAUAAAAUGAUUGAUUCUUGAAUGAACUUGAACAAAAAUAUUUCUGACCUAAUCUUUAGUGCUUCAGUGAUAGCAAUCCCUAAACCCUUCUUUACCAGGAUCUGUCUUGUCACCUCAUCCGUCUCUUCACAGAUUUUUCUGGAGGCCUCACAGAAUAGUCAAGAGUGACUCAGCUAUACAUUCUCUUCACAGAUCAAAACUGUAGACAAACACAUCUCUCCAAACCAACCUACAUUUGUAAUUUUCUCUAUGAAUAUAUAGAGUCAUAGAUGUUUAGAAUAAGAGAUACAAUACUGAGGAAAUGAAUUAUUUAAUUAAAUUAUCACAUACUUUUUUUCUGUCUGUAUUUAACCUUCUGUAAAUACUAUAAAAUAAUAGUACAUUUGCAUCUGAGGUGCUUACGACUAAACUUUUUCCUUCACUUUUUCACAAUAUGCUUCCCUUCUUAGGUACAGAGCAUUAGACUUAGAAUCUGUUUGGCAAUAAGGAGCAACGGAAGGAUUGUGAAAAUGAAUUGCAACCCUAAUGAUACUAGGUAGGAACUGAUGAACGUUCUACAUACAAAAUGCUGAGAAAUAUUUCCCCAAGGCUCAGGAGGUCAUAGGUUUUCCCAUGAUUGCUCCAGAUAACAGACAGAAAAGCGUACUAUAAUCAUGUCUAAACCAUGACUUUUAAUUAAUAAAGUUGACAUUAAGGGACAGGAAGGUAAUAUCUGUUUAUAAAUUUUAUGUUUCUGCAUAUUUACUAUUUUAAUAUUAACCUUAGAAUUUCUACCGUGUAUCAAUGAUGUUAAGCAUACACUUUAUUUUGAAUAUAGUGCUUAUUAAAAGUAUUUGUAAGGAUUA